rnacentral:tRNA from 1 species
CCUGAGAGCUCAGUUGGUAAAGAAUCUGCCUGCAAUGCAGGAGACCCUGGUUCAAUUCCUGGGUCAGGA